rnacentral:sRNA from 1 species
UUCAUUUUGUUAGUGUCCUUUUUAAAGCACAAAAGCUUCAAAAAGCACAAAAGUUUCCUAAUUUUGAUGAAGCCCAAUUUACUUUUUUCUUUUUGCUUUUGUUUCUGAAAAGCCAUUGUUCUCCUCCUCUCUUGUCUUAAGCUGGGUACAUUGCUCAGAAGAUAGGCCUGCCCGUCCGUCUGGUCGUGGCAGUGAACGGCAAUGACAUCAUCCACAGGACUGUCCAGCAGGGAGACUUCUCUCUCUCUGAGGCUGUUAAAUCAACCUUGGCAUCAGCUAUGGACAUUCAGGUGCCCUACAACAUGGAGAGGGUAUUCUGGCUGCUCUCUGGCUCUGACAGCCAGGUGACAAGAGCCCUCAUGGAGCAGUUUGAAAGGACCCAAAGUGUGAAUCUGCCCAAGGAACUGCACAGCAAGGUCA